rnacentral:rRNA from 1 species
UCAGUUGUGAAAGUUUGCGGCUCAACCGUAAAAUUGCAGUUGAUACUGGGUGUCUUGAGUACAGUAGAGGCAGGCGGAAUUCGUGGUGUAGCGGUGAAAUGCUUAGAUAUCACGAGGAACUCCGAUUGCGAAGGCAGCUUGCUGGACUGUAACUGACGCUGAUGCUCGAAAGUGUGGGUAUCAAACAGGAUUAGAUACCCUGGUAGUCCACACAGUAAACGAUGAAUACUCGCUGUUUGCGAUAUACAGUAAGCGGCCAAGCGAAAGCGUUAAGUAUUCCACCUGGGGAGUACGCCGGCAACGGUGAAACUCAAAGGAAUUGACGGGGGCCCGCACAAGCGGAGGAACAUGUGGUUUAAUUCGAUGAUACGCGAGGAACCUUACCCGGGCUUGAAUUGCAACUGAAUGAUGUGGAGACAUGUCAGCCGCAAGGCAGUUGUGAAGGUGCUGCAUGGUUGUCGUCAGCUCGUGCCGUGAGGUGUCGGCUUAAG